rnacentral:rRNA from 1 species
ACGGCGAGUGAAGAGGGAAAAGCCCAAAUUUGUAAUCUGGCUCUUUAAGAGUCUGAGUUGUAAUUUUAAGAACUGUUUUCAGUGCUGGACCAUGUACAAGUCUGUUGAAACACAGCAUCAUUGAGGGUGAUAAUCCCGUUCAUGAUAUGGACUCCCAGUGCAAUAUGAUACAGUCUCCAAGAGUCGAGUUGUUUGGGAAUGCAGCUCAAAAUGGGUGGUAAAUUCCAUCUAAGGCUAAAUAUUGGUGAGAGACCGAUAGCAAACAAGUACCGUGAGGGAAAGAUGAAAAGAACUUUGGAAAGAGAGUUAACAGUACGUGAAAUUGUUAAAAGGGAAACAAUUGAAGUUAGUCUUGUUAUUACUGGUUCAGCUCUUUUAGAGUGUAUUCCAGUGGUUAACAGAUCAACAUCAAUUCUUGGGUGCUAGAUAAGGGUUUUGUGAAAUGUAGCAGCUUCUAGCUGUGUUAUAGUCUGAGACUUUGAUAUAGUGCCUAGGAUUGAGGAAUGCAGUGAGC